rnacentral:lncRNA from 1 species
AAUACUUCUUGGUAUACAAUUGAUCCAUUUAUUUUAAUGGCUGCCUUUUCAUUUUCAUCUUUUCUUGCUGCUACCCAUCUAUGUAUGUAGUCAUUGGGGGGAAAAUGUAGCCACAUUUUUUAUGGGAAGACUUUGUGUUAAAAGUGAACAUUUUGAAGGUUUUUAACUGGUGAAACUAGCCUGGAAUAAUGCCACCAGAGACUGAGUGGAAAUCGCCCCUUUUGAAGGUGCCAUUCUUAUGAGCCAAAAGUUUGUCAUUUAAAAGUUCAUUU